GGGGGUUUUUAUGGGAUGGUACAAACAUCCCACAAACUUGAGCAAAGCACCUUAUGGAUUGAAAAAUGAGGUAAUUUUUUAAUUAAAAUUUUACAAGUUGUGCAAGAAAACAUUCUUUUAAAACUUUGUUUUCUAUUCCAAAAGCUAUGCACAGCACAUUUCAUAUUUCUCCAUUUCCAGGAGAAACUGUAGAUUACUGGUUUAAGAAAUGCAAAAGAUGCCUUUAUGUGACUACAGUUCCAAAUUCUAAAACCCUAAUCAGUCUUCACUCCUUUGGCCACAUUAAGAAUAAUACAGGCCAUCUAGCUGUAUGGUAAAAAGACCGUAUUUUUUAGUAAUUUUAAGUACCCUAAAUACGAGGAGAGGCAGAAAUUCACUGCUUUCAUUCACAUUUUCUCUUACCUAAUAUCCUUUUGAAGGUUUUUCGACCUCAUGGUAUUGUCUUUACUUUCAAGUGCUUUGAAUUUGUUUUUCAGUAUGCUUCUAAACCUCCAAAUUAAUAUUUCCCAAAUGUUUCACCGAACUGUAUACAUUUAAAGCUGCCUUUAGGUCUGAGGGGCAUAAUUUUUUUUCUGCUUUAAAUUUAAAAUUUAAAUUUAAAUUUAAAAAAUAAUUGAACAUUUUUUUUUAUAUUGGUCUUCCUCUAUUUAUUCUGGUCCCCUAAAAUUUUUAAAAAAUACUUUUUUGGGGAACUUGGCUUUUGGAUUUCAGUCUUCACAGUAAAAGUGAAUGAAUAAGGAGGAGAUGCUACUGAAAAACUAACCUUGAAUAUAAACCACUUUCAGAUUUAUGUAGACAUUUAUGUAGACAUUUGUAAAAGACUGACAACCUGGCUACUGACUCUACUCUUUCAAUAUGGAAAGUCACACAGGACUAUAGUUUGGGGUGGCAUCAAAAGGCAAUAAACUCUGAACAAAUUAACCACUUCCAUUCAAUUAGUACAAGCCAAGAAAAUAAGGUGAAUUAUCUAAAAGAGAAUUAUUUCCAACACAGGCUGGUUCUUUCUAAGCAGCUUACUACCCUUUUCUUAGCAAUAUGGCUUGUUUUCUCUUUUGCAUUGUCAUUAGCUAUUCGCUGAAUUUAAGUUGAAUAGCAGUUACUGAUACUUUUUUCCCUACUUGGUUGUAUUCGUAUUCUAAAUAAAAUAAUAGGUGGGAAUCAAAUAAUGGACAAAAAUACAUUUAAUUUCAUAUUACUUAUAUUUCCCUACUAUUUGGGGGAUUUCUAAUUUUUAAUAGUAGUAUAUAAGCAUUCAGAAUUUUAAAACCAAAAGACAUUUUAGAGCUGUAGUUUAAGUUCCUCAGUAUGGGAAAAACAAAAGGAAAGCCAUGGACACUAAUUGUCUAAGGUCAACUAGACAAUUGAGAAACGGCCAAAUUAAGGCUCAAAUCCACUUUUUUAGAUGGCUAGCACAAUAUUCUACUAGAUACAAGACACCAUGCUGUAUCUUGAAGUCACUUUACCCCGGCAAAAUGUAAAAUAACCUUUAGAACUGAAUUAGAGUGAAGUUUUUUUGGUUCCAAAGCCAUAGACAAAAAGUCUGCCUCAUAAAGUUGGUCUCCAAAGAUAAAUU
ensembl:lncRNA